UUGCAGGAGGCUCAGGAUGAGCUGUAGGGGUCCACCUGCCCCUUGAGGCUGCAGGGAAAAUUGAGAGAGGGUGUCUGGACUCAGGUGGGUCUGAGGCUGCAGGUAUGACUGGGUAUGUGAGCACAUAUGCAUAUAAGGUCCCCGGAUUUUAUCAGAUUCUCAAAAGCCAAGGACCACUGCCCCAGAAUUCAAGGAUGUAUUGAGUUAUGUGUAAGAGGUGCAGCCCAUUCUUUCCUGAGCCUCAGGAGAGAAAUUAGAUAAAAAUGGGUCAAGGGGAUCCUUUGCUGACAAUCUUUCCAAUCUCUGGGGGAGGCAUCCCCAAGGAAAAUGGGCACCGCGGCUUCCGGCCACCUGGAUAAAUGCCUCUCCAAAAGGGAGAAGUAUAGUAGAAGCAACCCAUCCUGGCCCCCAGAGCAUCCCAUGAAAUCUGGGGGAUACCCUCCUUUUCCUCCUAUGGGAGGGUCUCCUUGGGAACCAUCAGGGUGGGGUGAGCUAAGAAGGAACCAUUAACACCUUCCUGGUCCCCUCCUUCUGUUUCUGUCGGUGUCCAAUGACCUCUACUGGAUGUUCACCUCCUUGCCCCUCAUCUCAACAGUACUGAAAAGUAAGAUUCUUAUUUCACGUUGCCCUCCCCCCCCAUGCUUUGUUCCCUUUCUUAUCUCUGCUAAUGGGUCCAUUCCUAGCCAUGGAUCAUCUCUGGAGAAAUUUCUUUAAAACCCAGGGACUACUUUCAAAAAGGUGGGGUGUCCUGUGGGAACCAACCUCCCUCCUCAGAUCAGGGAUCUGGGCAAUGAUACGGUGAUGAUGGUGAUGAUAAUAACUAAAAUCCAUUAAGAAUUUCCCAAGUGCUGGGCACUGGAGGCAGCACCUUUAAGGUAUCAUGCUCUGUACUCCCCCACAACAUCUUCACAAAGUAGGCAUUAUUCGUCCCAAGUCUGCGAGGUGCCAACAACACAGGGACACUAAAUACAAGGAGAAGGAUGGUGGCUGCCUUCCCAGCCUAACCCUGAUCCAAUGCAAGUGCCUUCAGCCAUUCGAUUUCCCCUCUGACCCAGACAAUGAGGCUUUGGCUGGUCUCCCCUGUUCACUGCCAAGUCCUAAAUGAUCACCACGCCCCCCCCGGGCUCUGCUCUCAUGGGUUUCUGGUCUCCCCACCUUCUGAUCUGCUGAUUUGUUUCCUCCUUAUGGCCUCGUCUCUCAUGACCCCUUGGAUUCAACACUCUGGACCUCGUCUGCCCCCGUGACCUUGCCUCCCGGACCACCCUUUUCUCUGCAUGGGCAACAUCAGAGAUCCUAGGUUUGCUGAGCCUCCAGGUGUUGAAUGAAGAAACAAGUGGUUGCAAGGAAGAAGGUAAGUUGUGGAUCCGCACCUUUUCCUGCGUAGAGGACAGUGAGGUCCUUCAGCCCGGUUUAUGACAAAGCCCCAAGAAGAGGAGACGCCUCCAGGUAACCACAGGCAGAGCGUUGGUGCCCACGAAGGUAUCCGUGUGAAGGGCAGCUAGGGCCUUCGAGCUGCUCACUGGUGCCAAGGAGAUCCAACACACUGAGGUAGGCGUGGGACCCAUUCCUGCUCCCCUGGAAAUGACACGUCAGUCCCGAGUGUCAGGGCUGCAAGGCCAAAAACCAAGAGAGAGGAAAUCAAGCGAUAAAAGCGAGCAUCCACGUGGCCCAGAUAGUGGCCAGAAGCACUUAAAUAAAAGCCUACUGUUAUUACGUUCACAAAAAUAGAUGAAGAAUUUCACCAGAGAAUUAGAAUUUGUUUAAAAAAAUAGUCAAAUGGCAAUUCCAGGAUUGAAAAUAUGUAACCAAAAUGACGAAUUCAGUGGUUGGGCUUAACAGCAGAGAGCACAAAGAGCAGAGAGAUUAAGGAGCUAGAAAACGGGUCAAGAGGAAUUACUCAAAGUGAAGCACAGUGGAUAAAAUAAUAGGAAAUACAGAAGGAGGCACACAAAACUCAGGGGACACAGUGAAAAGCUGUGACAAGUGAAAUGAGAAUUUAAGAAGGAGAAGUGAGAGAAAAUGAAACAAGUGAUAUGUCAAGAGUUAACGGAUAAAAAUUUUGCAUAUUGGUAAAAAUAAUCAUCAAGCAACAGAUUUUAAAAGUUCUGAGAGGGGCGCCUGGCCGGGCUCAGUCAGAAACGCAUGCAAUUCUUGAUUUCAAGGUCAUGAGUUCGAGUCCCACAGUGGGGGUAGAGAGUACUCAAAAAA